UGCCCUUCAGUUGUUAUUGUAAAGUCUUUAAUUGCCAGAGGCAAAGGUUUGAUAUUACAUAACUUUAAAUCCGUUUUUUGCGUACACAUUAUCUACAUUUUCUAUUCUGUAGUGAAUAUUACUUGUGUUCUCAAGAGGUAAGCUAUAGAAAAUGUUAUGGGUAUAAUUGGAGGCAUUUUAAGGUAAACAGGGGCUUUAAGGAGCCGUUGUCGCUCACCUGAAAUUUUGAAAUUGAUGCAUGAAAUAAUGCAAUAAAAAAGGAAUCUGUAUGGAUCAAGUUUGGUUUUUUUAAAUGCUUUCAUCUCAAUUAUCAUUUUAAGUUUUCAAGGUUAAAACACACAUUUCAAGUAUGUCGUGCUGCUGAAAAGAGACAGUAAGUAGAUCCCAACAUUCUGAACAUUUUUGCCCAAUAUAGAUUUUUCUACUCAUAGCAGUUUUCAAGAAAAUAGACACACCUUGCAUUUUACCCCUUUGUUUUACUUUUAGCUACGGCGGCCAUGUUGGUUGGCAGGCUGGAUCAUCAAACACAUUUUCUAAACUAAGUACCUAUAAUAAAAAUUGACAAAAACUCCGUAUAAAGGAGUCAAUUGAAAAUUUGGUCAUAUUAACUUAUUUAAAGAUCUCGCUUUAAAAAACAUUAUUGCUGUUUACAGUUUAUCUUUUUUUUAUCUAUAAUAAUCAUGAAGAUAACCAAAAACUGCAGAAUUUCCUUAAAAUUACAUUUCAAGAGACAGCAACCCAACAACUGGUAGUCUGAUUCGUCUGAAAAUUUGAGAACAUAUAGAUCUAAACUUGAUGAAGAAAUUUUACCCUUGUCAUAUUUGCCGUCUAAAUGCUUGUAAGCUAAAUAUAAGCCAACACUGCAUUUUAUCCUAUUUUAUGUUCUAGUUUUAGCCAUGUUGGUUGGCAGACAGGAUCAUCGGAAACAUUUUUAAAAAGUUCCCAAUUAAUGACUGUGGCCAAGUUUGGUUGAACUCGUAGAUGUAGUUUCAGAGGAGACGAUUUUGGUAAAAAAUUACAUAAAUUUACGAAAAAUUGUAAUACAAUUGAUUAUAAAUGGCAAUAACUCCUUACGGGAUCAAUUAACAAUUUUGGUCAUGAUGACUUAUUUGUAGAUCUUACUUUGCUGAACAUUAUUUUUGCUUACAGUUUAUCUCUAUCUAUAAUAAUAUUCAAGAUAACAAUCAAAAACAGCAAAAUCUAAUCUAAAUUUACUUAUUCAAGGGCAGCAACCCAACUACAUGUUGGCUGAUUCGUCGGAAAAUUCCACGGCAGAUCAUAUCUAAAUCUUUAUAUGUUGUUUUUUUUUUUGUUUUUUUUUUUAGUCAUGGCAGCCAUAUUGGUUGGCAGGCUGGGUUGCUAGAUACCCCAAUAUUGAUUAUGGCCAAGUUUGGUUAAAUUUGUCUUUAGUUUUAGACGGACGCCAAGUGAUGAGAAAAGCUCACUUGACCUUUCAGGCCAGGCGUACGAAAAGUUGACAUUGAGUUGCGGAGUGUACUAUAAAAUUGAAUCAUUUGUAAUUACUUUGGCUAACAAAGAAAACUUUAGAAUACAAGACCAUUUAUAACCUAAAAGUAAACAAGAGAUGUGUUAUAUUAACUUUACAAUUUAUGACAAAAGAUUUGAUUUUCUAGGUUACUGCUGAUCAAAUUUUUGCUUUCGGACAGAAGUUUGAAAAUUGCUACUCGAAUAAAGGCAUCAAUUUUCCUUUUAAGUUAUACAUGAAUAACUUACUGAAAGCAAGCAAUUUAAGAAAAGUAAAUUUGUUCUAAAUUUGGACAAAUUAUAGAAUUUUCCAGAGAAAAAAGUAUAUGUACAUAAGUUUUAUUAAAAUAAAACAUAUGCAUAUUUUGUUUUAAAUUUGAAGUUUCAUAUGACUCUAAGAAUUAUUUUAUUUGGUAUUUUCAGCUUGUUAUGAAACUCGCCUUUACAAUCUUUUGUUUGGUUGUUUUGAGCUUAUUUGGAGACACAGCAUGUGCUACUAACCAAUGCAUCAGCAAUUGCAUAGAUAGUUCCAGUAGCUGUAUCAGGGGUUGUGGUGGAAAAUUUAUUUUCCAGAUGUUGUCAUGCCAUUCAAGUUGCAAAAAUCAAUGUGAACUAUGUACCGUCAAGUGCCCUAACACUGGCAGUUCAGGAAAAACUUGUAAAUUUUAAGUCAUAAAUAAA
rnacentral:lncRNA from 1 species